GAACAGCCGGCCACGCCUCGCGAGAAUGGCCUAAUCUAUGACCUUCCAAACAUGGCGGCGCCCCUAAGCAUUCCUGCCCAAACGAGACUUCGGCCAUAUUGGGUGUGGCACAGCUUCCUGCAUACCUCAGGGCGCACCUGCCUCAGCUGCGAUGUAAUACUCGGGCACUGACACCUCUCAGCUUUAGAUCUGACAGAAGGCAGGGCUACCAUUUGGAGGGACAACAGCUGAGCAGUGAAGGAGAGGAAAGAUUCCCCACAAAACGUGCUCCAAGAGUGGCAAUGGUUUGAAUAGAUCCUCAGCACCUGGAACCAACUAUUUCUCCUGCCCUUUGUAAGGGAUGUAGGGGUGGGGAGCACCCCUACAGCUAAGGUUGAGACACAGCGUUUAAGACCUGGAGGACAUCUAUUGCAGAGCUGGUGUGGAUUUUUCUCCCCCUCGUCAUAGGUACAUUAUAAAAAGAGAACUGUAUUUGAAAAGCAGGCAUGUGAUAACAUGCAGCUAUAGAAUCAUAGAAAUGCAGGGGUCAAGAGGUCAUCUAGUCCAGCUCCCUGCACUAAGGCAACACAGAGGAGGAAAAAAAAAUCCCUGCCAACAAAGACAAAACAGAUAUCUCUAGUGGGGAAAAGGAGCAUGAUCGUGAUUAAUUCCCUCCUGACUCCUGAGAAAGGUGCUUGUGAUGUCAUAAACCACUGAAGGGGAGAGCAGUAUUCUCAAACUCAGGGCAAGCAGGUGGGACAAGCAGGAACUGCUGCAGAGCCCCCUGCUGGGAGGACUAGGCCACCACUGCGAGGAGACACGGGAUCAGGACGGCAGGAUCCAUCACUGUCACCAUACAGCUCCAGUCAUCUGCCAGAGCGAGAGGAAUGGUUUGAACUGUCCCUACUGAGGAAAGGAACUCAGGCAAGGUCCUAGGCUGUGAACGCUUCUUCAGCGUACUGGGUUGAACCUGAGAUUCAGCUUCAUCUGUUGGAGUGAUUGGAGGGAAGGGGAGUUAAGAUGACAGAAUCCUGAUCCAUUUAUCUAGUUAUCAAUGGAAGGGAUGUUUUUCAGCAACCUCCAGCAAGAGAUGGCAAAUGUCCAUCAUCAGAAGCCCAGGACACCACAGACCAGGGCACACCAACUCAAAGCAGCACCAGACCCAGCCAGAACAACAGACACAAAACCUGCAGACAUAUCCCCACUAAUACAAUGAUCAACACCCCCACCCCCACCACACAAAACACCCUUCAAGAUCCAUGGGUCCUACUCAUCCAGUGCACUAAAUGCCUCAACAACUAUGCGGUGAAACUAGUAAUUAAGCUCUCAAAUGAACUCACAGGAAAAAGAGAAAAAUACCAGAUCACCUGUUGGCAAACACUUUUCACAAAGCCACCACUCUAUAUCUGACCUAUCAGUCCUCAUCCUCAAAGGAAACCUGCGCAAUACUUUCAAAAGAUGAGCCUGGGAGCUUAAAUUCAUACCUUUGCUAGACACUAAAAAUCAUGGUCUUAAUAAAGAGACACUAAUUUAUGUCUUAUUACAAUCUGUAACCCACUAACCCCCGUUUAGUCUUAUGACUUCAGGGGUGUUAAUAGCCCACUUCACCUUGAAUGGUCCCUUAGAAUAUAUCAUAAGUAGUUAGCAUAAACUAUCUGUUCAAUCUUUCGUUUAGCUGUGACAUUCUUAGUACCUUCCCCACAGCUGAAGAGCUCUAUGUAGCUUGAACGCCUCUCUCACCAAGAACUUGGUCCAAUAAAAGAUGAUAUCUUUCCCCCUUUGUCUCAACUGUACAAAUAUUUCAUACGUAUCAAAGGGUGGUUCUCUCUGCCCAAUUUUUCAGAAUGCUACACUGAACUACAAAACUGUAAUGCCAUGUAUACAGGACUGUACUGUAAUGAUAUCUUAUGUUUUGCUUUGUUCUGGCCCAAAGUUUACACGUUUAAAAAACUGAACUGAUAAUCAUUGGAGACAAACCCUUUGA